rnacentral:rRNA from 1 species
AUUGAACGCUGGCGGCAUGCCUUACACACGCAAGUCGAACGGCAGCGGGGGAGAAGCUUGCUUUUCCUGCCGGCGAGUGGCGAACGGGUGAGUAAUACAUCGGAACGUGCCCUGUAGUGGGGGAUAACUAGUCGAAAGAUUAGCUAAUACCGCAUACGACCUGAGGGUGAAAGUGGGGGACCGCAAGGCCUCAUGCUAUAGGAGCGGCCGAUGUCUGAUUAGCUAGUUGGUGGGGUAAAGGCCUACCAAGGCGACGAUCAGUAGCUGGUCUGAGAGGACGGUCAGCCACACUGGGACUGAGAGACGGCCCAGACUCCUACGGGAGGCAGCAGUGGGGAAGUUUGGACAAGGGGCGAAAGCCUGAUCCAGCAAUGCCGCGUGUGUGAAGAAGGCCUUCGGGUUGUAAAGCACUUUUGUCCGGAAAGAAAUGGCUCUGGUUAAUACCUGGGGUCGAUGACGGUACCGGAAGAAUAAGGACCGGCUAACUACGUGCCAGCCGCCGCAGUAA